rnacentral:rRNA from 1 species
AACGAACGCUGGCGGCAGGCCUAACACAUGCAAGUCGAACGCCGUAGCAAUACGGAGUGGCAGACGGGUGAGUAACGCGUGGGAACAUACCCUCCGGUUCGGAAUAACUCAGGGAAACUUGAGCUAAUACCGGAUACGUCCAAGGUUUUAAUCGGCCUUGGAGAAAGAUUUAUCGCCGGAGGAUUGGCCCGCGUCUGAUUAGCUUGUUGGUGAGGUAAUGGCUCACCAAGGCGACGAUCAGAGCUGGUCUGAGAGGAUGAUCAGCCACAUUGGGACUGAGACACGGCCCAAACUCCUACGGGAGGCAGCAGUGGGGAAUAUUGGACAAUGGGCGCAAGCCUGAUCCAGCCAUGCCGCGUGAGUGAUGAAGGCCUUAGGGUUGUAAAGCUCUUUUACCCGGGAAGAUAAUGACGGUACCGGGAGAAUAAGCCCCGGCUAACUUCGUGCCAGCCGCCGCGGU